rnacentral:rRNA from 1 species
AUUGAACGCUGGCGGCAGGCUUAACACAUGCAAGUCGAGCGGGGAAGGGUAGCUUGCUACCUGACCUAGCGGCGGACGGGUGAGUAAUGCUUAGGAAUCUGCCUAUUAGUGGGGGACAACAUUCCGAAAGGAAUGCUAAUACCGCAUACGCCCUACGGGGGAAAGCAGGGGAUCUUCGGACCUUGCGCUAAUAGAUGAGCCUAAGUCAGAUUAGCUAGUUGGUGGGGUAAAGGCCUACCAAGGCGACGAUCUGUAGCGGGUCUGAGAGGAUGAUCCGCCACACUGGGACGGAGACACGGCCCAGACUCCUGCGGGAGGCAGCAGUGGGGAAUAUUGGACAAUGGGCGAAAGCCUGAUCCAGCCAUGCCGCGUGUGUGAAGAAGGCCUUUUGGUUGUAAAGCACUUUAAGCGAGGAGGAGGCUACCGAGAUUAAUACCUAGAGAUAGUGGACGUUACUCGCAGAAUAAGCACCGGCUAACUCUGUGCCAGCCGCCGCCGUAACAC